GAUGAAGAACGCAUCGAAAUGCGAUAAGUAAUGUGAAUUGCAGAAUUCAGUGAAUCAUCGAAUCUUUGAACGCAUCUUGCGCUCCUUGGUAUUCUGAGGAGCAUGCCUGUUUGAGUGUCAUUAAAUUCUCAACUACACUGACUUUGAAUUGGUGUGGCUUGGAUUUGGGGGGAAAAUUGUUGUGGGCUUUUUGUAUAGUCUGCUCCCCUGAAAUUGAUUAGCGGUACCUUUGUGGAACUGUCUACAGGUGUGAUAAUUAUCUACAUCUUAGACAUCUGCUGGAAUGCUGCUUUCUAAACCUUACUUGUAUUGACAAUCUUGACCUCAAAUCAGGUAGGACUACCCGCUGAACUUAAGCAUAUCAAUAAGCGGAGGA
rnacentral:misc_RNA from 1 species